GACGAACGCUGGCGGCGUGCUUAACACAUGCAAGUCGAACGGAAAGGCCCUGCUUUUGUGGGUUGCUCGAUUGGCGAACGGGUGAGUAACACGUGAGUAACCUGUCCUUGACUUUGGGAUAACUUCAGGAAACUCGGGCUAAUACCGGAUAGGAGCUCCUGCUGCAUGGUGGGGGUUGGAAAGUUUCGGCUGUUGGGGAUGGAUUCGCGGCUUAUCAGCUUGUUGGUGGGGUAGUGGCUUACCAAGGGUUUGACGGGUAGCCGGCCUGAGAGGGUGACCGGCGACAUUGGGCCUGAGAUACGGCCCAGACGCCUACGGGAGGCAGCGGUGGGGAAUCUUGCACAAUAGGCGGAAGCCUGAUGCAGCAACGCCGCGUGCGGGAUGACGGCCUUCGGGUUGUAAACCGCUUUCGCCUGUGACGAAGCGUGAGUGACGGUAAUGGGUAAAGAAGCACCGGCUAACUACGUG
rnacentral:rRNA from 1 species